UCGAGAGUAUUUAGCAAUGGGCGAAAGCCUGACUAUGCGACGCCGCGUGAAGGAUGAAGGUUUUCGGAUUGUAAACUUCUUUUGUCAGGGAAGAAACUUUUUGUUCUAACAGGGCAAAAACUGACGGUACCUGAUGAAUAAGCCACGGCUAACUCCGUGCCAGCAGCCGCGGUAAUACGGGGGUGGCAAGCGUUACUCGGAAUCAUUGGGUGUAAAGGGCAAGUAGGCGGUUUAAUAAGUGAGGGGUGAAAUUUCUCGACUCAAUCGGGAAACUGCCUUUCAAACUGUUAAACUUGAAGCAGGAAGGGGGAAAUGGAAUUCUCAGUGUAAGGGUGAAAUCUGUAGAUAUUGAGAAGAACACCGGCGGCGAAGGCGAUUUCCUGGUCCUGUCUUGACGCUGAAUUGCGAAAGCUAGGGGAGCAAACAGA
rnacentral:rRNA from 1 species